rnacentral:ncRNA from 1 species
CAACCUGAACUCAGUCGUGAUUACCCGCUGAACUUAAGCAUAUCAUUUAGCGGAGGAAAAGAAACUAAAAAGGAUUCCCUUAGUGACGGCGAGUGAAACGGGAAGAGCCCAGCGCCGAAUCGUUCAGUCUUUGGCUGCUACGACAUGUGGCGUAUAGGUGUAGUCUUCCAGCAGUAUCGUAUGUCCGAAGUCCUUACGAUUGAGGCCAUAGACCAGAGAGGGUGCGAGCCCCGUUCUGGAUAGCGAUGCUGUUGGUUCGACUGCUCCUUGGAGUCGGGUUGCUUGAAAGUGCAGCCUAAAGUGGGUGAUAAACUUCAUCUAAGGCUGAAUAUCGACUCGAUUGCGAUAGCGAACAAGUACCGUGAGGGAAAGUUGCAAAGGACUUUGAAGAGAGAGUUCAAGAGAACGUGAAAUCGCUGGAGUGGAACCGGAGACAGUUGAUGUUGCUUGGAGACAAGUUUGGUGACUGGUCGCUUAGUUGUGAUCGUUGCCGGACGUCGUUUCCUAUGCUACGCCGACGGCGUCGGUCGCUCGUUCUAGCCCGAUAGUGUUGCCCAGCUCGCAAGAGUCGGUGUCUCGUUGUCGGUAGUUGGUUCGUGGCGGCUAGCGUUUAGUUACGCUAGUGUGUGUGACGUCGGUGUGAAAGUCGACGACGUUUCCGACCCGUCUUGAAACACGGAUUGCGGAGUGCUUGUCUACUGCGAGUCAAAGGGUGUCAAAACCUUGCGGCGUAAUGAAAGUAAAGG